rnacentral:rRNA from 1 species
CAAUAGCGUAUAUUUAAGUUGUUGCAGUUAAAAAGCUCGUAGUUGGAUUUCGGGUGGGUACCGCCGGUCUCCCAUUGGGUAUGUACUGGCGUGGCCCGCCUUGCUGUCGGGGACGGUCUCCUGGGCUUAAUUGCUCGGGAAUCGGAGUCGACGAUGUUACUUUGAGUAAAUUAGAGUGUUCAAAGCAAGCCUACGCUCUGAAUAUGAUAGCAUGGGAUAACACGACAGGACUCUGGCCUAUCGUGUUGGUCUGUAGGACCGGAGUAAUGAUUAAGAGGGACAGUCGGGGGCAUUCGUAUUCCAUUGUCAGAGGUGAAAUUCUUGGAUUUAUGGAAGACGAACAUCUGCGAAAGCAUUUGCCAAGGAUGUUUUCAUUG